UGUCAGAAUGGUGCGUGUCCUGUGUUCACCGUUUGUGAUCGGCUGGCGCUAGGAUAGAUCGGACGCAGCACCGCCGCCUCAAAGCGGCGGUGUAAUUGUUGAUUGUGCCGAGUCAACGGGAUCUGGAACGACCGGUCGCCGACUUGCCGGGACGCUGCUUCUGAUUCCGACAGGAUAGCUUUUGAGCCGCCCAGAGGAAGAGCACCUCA
rnacentral:misc_RNA from 1 species